GACCAGAACAUCUCCUAAUCAAUUUUUUUUUUAUCAGGUCGGGAUGUCUGCUAACAAGAUGCCUUGUUGGUCUGGGCGAGUUUGAAGUCUCUCACAGACAGUCCAGAAGGUCUGGAGUCCAUCUUAGCUUUUAUUGAUGCUGUCAUCAGGUUUUAAGUACAGUAUGAGCCAGAAUGGAAGGGUGUUGGUGGCCAUAAGAAGACUGUGAGCUAAACCUACAACAAAAUUCAUAUUUGCAGUUUUCCUAGAAUAUUUUUUUCUAUUCAGAUGAAUAAAAUUACUUUAAAAUAUUA